rnacentral:lncRNA from 1 species
UUCUUUACUAUCGUUGAAAAAAUAUGGCGGUUGGUGACCACGUUAUGAUUUGGAUUUUGGAUUGUCAACGGUACUUUCCGUGUGUGUUAACCUACAGUAACAAGACCCACGGAUAACAAAAGACGUUUACAUCAAAAGUUCGUAAGAAAGAAAGCUUUUGAAUAAAUUUACGAAAAGGACGAAAAGAGCUUGCGAAAUGUGAACGUACGGUAUGAAUGCAGGAUAUCAGCCAGAGGUCAUUCAGGCCCACUUUAAAAUUAAACAAGCAUUAUUAAGCAUGUUCUAUGAGGACCUUGGAGAGUAUGAAAAGUGAUACCAGUUAUCUUUGAUAGCUGCAUAUUUAUCUCCUCAAGAUGCCGAUGAAUGGCUACGAUUAGCCGAGGUCAUGAUCAGAACUAUGGAAAAUAUUCUGUCCACCAGGGAAUGACGCCUUAGGAGAAAGAACUGCGGUUGCGAUCUUCAACAAUAUUGCGUAACAAUAUUGCGUCUUUGCAUGAAUUUUGAUGCUUUAAGACUUGGAGACCAUAUUUUCCACCACUUCGAGAAGCUGAGUAAAAUUCUACUUGUACAAUGUUAAGAAUGGCACCUUUUGAUAAAAGGAACUUCAGCCAUCCAAUCUAGGACUUCCAUCCAAUCGUGCAGGCUGCAUGGAAGUCGCAUUUACCUUUGCUGUGAACAUCAUGAACACAUACACUAUUUGAAGGUUCAUGUUAACAUAGCAGUGGUGUUGCUGUCCAAUGUGGCGUGUUAUUGCAGCCUAUGGCGGUGAAAGAUAUCUGCAUCCAGCAUUGUGUUUAAUUGCUAUUUGUGUCUAUGCAGUUUACCUUUUAUAUAUUGAGAAGGAACACAAAAAAGUAAUACGGGGAGGUUCAUGUCAAACAAAUAAAAACAUGUCCGCGAUUGGGGAAUGAGGAGGGAGUUGGGGUGGGAUAUUUGAUUAUCAUUUACUAAAAGAAGUGAGGUGUGUUUUUAAUGAAUACGCAAUACUUAGUGAUAAAAUUUGUUGUUAACCUAUAUAACCUUCCUCACUUACACAUCCAUUCCUCAAACCCCAUAAACACCAACAUCAAAUCCCACAUCCACUUACAUCCAUUCCUCAAACCCCAUAAACACCAACAUCAAAUCCCACAUCCACUUACAUCCAUUCCUCAAACCCCACAAUCUCCAACAUCAAACCACACAAUUGUUGUAUAUCUAUAACCAUCUAUAUAUAUAAAUAAAUUAAAUGUCAUUGUA